rnacentral:tRNA from 1 species
AUUUUUGUAGUUGAUGAACAACGGUGGUUUUUCAGACCUCAGGACUCUUAAGAGCAAGAAUA